GACGAACGCUGGCGGCGUGCCUAACACAUGCAAGUCGAACGGGGUAGAUUCCUUCGGGGAUUUACUUAGUGGCGAACGGGUGAGUAACGCGUGAGAAACCUGCCUCUCAGUGGGGGACAACAGUUGGAAACGACUGCUAAUACCGCAUAACACUUUAGUACCGCAUGGUACAGAAGUCAAAGCUUAAUGUGCUGAGAGAUGGUCUCGCGUCUGAUUAGCUAGAUGGCGGGGUAACGGCCCACCAUGGCGACGAUCAGUAGCCGGUCUGAGAGGAUGAACGGCCACAUUGGGACUGAGAUACGGCCCAGACUCCUACGGGAGGCAGCAGUGGGGAAUAUUGGGCAAUGGGGGAAACCCUGACCCAGCAACGCCGCGUGAAGGAAGAAGGCCUUCGG
rnacentral:rRNA from 1 species